UACAGUGUUCCUGCCCUCACGGGUAGAAACCCCACCCUUGUGUAUUAUAUAUUGUUGCUUUGGCGAGCCGCCGCAAGGCCCGGGCCUCGGCUCGGUCGUGCUCGUCAAGGGACCCUAAACGCUGUCUUAUAGUGUCGUCUGAGUACUAUUUAAUAGUUAAAACUUUCAACAACGGAUCUCUUGGUUCUGGCAUCGAUGAAGAACGCAGCGAAAUGCGAUAAGUAAUGUGAAUUGCAGAAUUCAGUGAAUCAUCGAAUCUUUGAACGCACAUUGCGCCCCUUGGUAUUCCGAGGGGCAUGCCUGUUCGAGCGUCAUGUACGCCAACUCCCGCUCCGGCGGGGUCUUGGGCUUCGCCUCCGGGCGGGCCUUAAAACCAGUGGCGGCACGCCCGACCCCACGCGUAGUAGAUUUAUUUUCGCGAUGGCCAGUCUUUUGUAAGCGAUGCUAGCCAACAACCCCUAAUUCUUCAGGAUGA
rnacentral:rRNA from 1 species